UACGAAGGGGGCUAGCGUUGCUCGGAAUCACUGGGCGUAAAGCGCACGUAGGCGGUUUCUUAAGUCAGGGGUGAAAUCCUGGAGCUCAACUCCAGAACUGCCUUUGAUACUGGGAGACUUGAGUCCGGGAGAGGUGAGUGGAACUGCGAGUGUAGAGGUGAAAUUCGUAGAUAUUCGCAAGAACACCAGUGGCGAAGGCGGCUCACUGGCCCGGUACUGACGCUGAGGUGCGAAAGCGUGGGGAGCAAACAGG
rnacentral:rRNA from 1 species